UUUUCAUCUUGUUUCAAUGCAGACAUUCAAUAUGGAAAGAAUAAAAUCAAAUGUAGUACUGUUAAUAAUAGUCCUCAAAAUAUUCUUGGUAACCACAGCCACAGGACAAAAGACAUCCGAGUGCGAUCGACAAACGGAAGAACAGUGUCACAGUCAAAUCUAUAAAAGUGUGAAGCCUUUGCUAGACUACUUUAGGCAAGUUCGAAAUCAGUUAGACCAAAGUGAAAUUAAGGAAAAGCAAUUAAGUGAGAUAAAUUCUGAUCUUAUGAACAAGUAUCAUGAAAUUGUAAGAAUUCAUGAAAAGCUCAUGAAGGAGGCAUUUCAAUUAGAUGAGUUUUCAAAUAAAAUAUUAAGAAAAGAAAACGAUUUGCAAUUGUGUCAAAGUAAAGUUGAUAAAUUAGAAUCUGAGAUUAAAUCACAACAAACAACUAUUAACAAAUUAACACUACAUGCAAAUUUUCUUGCGAGUUAUGAUAAAUGUAAAGAAGAAUUAUCAGAUAAAUCCGACAAUUUGGAAAUUUGUGAAGUUCAAUCAAAAAAACUUAAUUCUAGUAUUAUUGAAAAAGAUAAGAAAAUUUAUAGAUACUCUGCAACAAUUCAAAACUUGACAGAGCAUCAGAAUACAGUUGAGUUGAAAUUGGAAGCGAGUCAAACCAAGUUAAUCAAAAAAGAUAAAGACAUUGAAAUAUGCCAUGCAGAAAUUACUAAAUUAAAUAGGACAUCACACCUAAAUAUUCCUUCAAGUUGUCUUCCUUUCGGAGAACAUUCUGGUGUGCAUGAAAUUAAAGUUUCUGGUGUUGGUUUCUUCGAUGUUCUAUGCGAUAGUCAGUUAGCUGGGCCUGGUUGGAUGGUAAUACAACAGCGAAUUGGAGGAAAAGAGAACUUUACCAGGGAUUGGGCCACAUAUCGCGAAGGUUUCGGUUCAUUGAAUAGUGACUUUUUCCUAGGAUUAGAAAAGAUGUAUCGACUAACAAGUUUGCAGCAAUACGAACUCUACAUACAUUUGGUUGCUUUAAAUGGGAGCAUCUUCUACGCCCGAUACGAUGACUUUAAAAUAUCUGAUGAAGACCAUGGAUACACACUAAGCUUGGGUAAAUUCAAGGGAAAUAUUAGGGAUGCGAUGAGACUCCACGAAAACAUGAAAUUCACAACAUUCGAUCGCGAUAACGACUCUGCUGAUAAUAACUGUGCAGUUGUGUAUAAUAGUGGCUGGUGGUACACCAAAUGUUACGAUUGUAACUUAAAUGCAUUAUACGGCAUGUAUCUAAAUUGGUGGACUAAAAUAAGAAAUGAACUCAAAGAAGCUAAGAUGCUGAUUCGCCCCAAAGAAAAAAUUAUCUAAUGAUCAACUGAAAAGCUAAAAUCCAAAAUGUAAUUAAAAGAUUUGGGUAUAACUGUUAUAGUGCACUAUAUGCUUUCCCAAUAAAUAUAUGAAAAGCUUCUUGAAAGAGAGAUUUUGAUGUAUUUGGAAUGCCUGAAGGAAAGAGGUGAGAUUGUAUUGUAUGUAUGUAGCUUCAUCUUGAGAUGGUCAGCAAUCUGGUUAAUUUUGUACGUUAUGGUUUGUAGUGAAAGUAGUAGAUUUUUGAUGUAUUUUAGUAUUUUCUCAGUAUAUUAUUUUUCUAAAGAGUGGUCGCCACAGUUCAUCACGUCGAGGGGAACCACAAAAGAUUUUGGCGUGCAAUCUGAAGGUUAGUAAGGCAAAAAAUCUGCUGUCAGUUGAGUUGAUGAAAAAAUUAUAAUUAUUUUUAUAUUUUUUUCUGUCGAAUUACAUAAUGUAAACAAGAAUAUAAACGUAUAAUGUAAUAUUGUUCUAUAUCACAGUUUCACAAUCUUAUUUCUCGACCUUAUUUUAUAGAACGUUUACAUCCUAUCAUCAAUUGGAGCUUAAUCUAAAUUCUUUGCAUACGUAUUUGUUAUUUGUUAUAUACACAGAUCAGCCAUUCAGAGCUAAGCUCUUCAUCGAUUUCAACGAAAUAUUUAGUUUCAGAUUCAUCUUUGGGUUAAUCCGGUCAAUGCAUUCGAAAUGGGUAGAACAAAAAUAAACGUAGUUUUGUUAAUGAUCCUCAAACUAUUCUUGGUGGGCACAACAACAGGAGAAGAGGUGAAAAUAAUCACAUAUGUAUAUACAGUUAAGAGAGUGCUAAAUCUAUAGUAUUUUUUUCUUAUCAGACGUGUGAGCACGAUCGACAAAUGGAAGAACUGUGCCGCACUCAUACCUAUAAAAGUGUGAAACCUUUGUUAGACUACUUUAGACAAGUUCGAAAUGAGUUAGACCAAAGUGAAAUUAAGGAAAAGCAAAUAAGUGAGAUAAAUUCUGAUCUUAUGAACAAGUAUCAUGAAAUUGUAGGAAUUCAUGAAAAGCUCAUGAAGGAGGCAUUUCAAUUAGAUGACUAUAAAAACAAAAUAUUAAGAAAAUAAAACGAUUUGCAAUUGUGUCAGAGUAAAGUUGAUAAAUUAGAAUCUGAGGUUAAUUCACAAAAAAUAACUAUUAACAAAUUAACACUACAUGCAAAUUUUCUUGCGAGUUAUGAUAAAUGUAAAGAAGAAUUAUCAGAUAAAUCCGACAAUUUGGAAAUUUGUGAAGUUCAAUCAAAAAAACUUAAUUCUAGUAUUAUUGAAAAAGAUAAGAAAAUUUCUAGAUACUAUGCAACAAUUCAAAACUUGACAGAGCAUCAGAAAACAAUUAGUUCAAAAUUAGAAGAGAGGCAAUCCAUGUUAAUAAAAAAAGAUAAAGACAUUGAAAUAUGCCAUGCAGAAAUUACUAAAUUAAAUAGGACAUCACACCUAAAUAUUCCUUCAAGUUGUCUUCCUUUCGGAGAACAUUCUGGUGUGCAUGAAAUAAAAGUUUCUGGUGUUGGUUUCUUCGAUGUUCUUUGCGAUAGUCAGGUAGCUGGGCCUGGUUGGAUGGUCAUACAACAGCGAAUUGGUGGAAAAGAGAACUUUACGAGGGAUUGGGCCACAUAUCGCGAAGGUUUCGGUUCAUUGGAUAGUGAUUUUUUCCUUGGAUUAGAAAAGAUGUAUCGAGUAACAAGUUUGCAGCAAUACGAACUCUACAUACAUUUGGUUGUCUUAAAUGGCAGCAUCUUCUACGCCCGAUACGAUGACUUCAAAAUAACUGAUGAAGACCAUGGAUACACACUAAGCUUGGGUAAAUUCAAGGGAAAUAUUAGGGAUGCGAUGAGACUCCACGAAAACAUGAAAUUCACAACAUUCGAUCGCGAUAACGACCCUGCCGAUGGUAAUUGUGCAGUUGGGUAUAAUAGUGGCUGGUGGUACCAGAAAUGUUCUAAUUGUAACUUAAAUGCAUUAUACGGCCUACUUCUAAAUUGGUGGACUGAAAUAAGAAAUCUACUUAAAGAAGCUAAGAUGCUGAUUCGUCCCAAA